rnacentral:rRNA from 1 species
UGCGUAGGCGGACUAGUAAGUCAGUGGUGAAAUCUUUCGGCUCAACCGAGAAACUGCCAUUGAUACUGUUAGUCUUGAGUUCGGUAGAGGUAGGCGGAAUGUGUAAUGUAGCGGUGAAAUGCUUAGAUAUUACACAGAACACCAAUUGCGUAGGCAGCUUACUAUACCGACACUGACGCUGAGGCACGAAAGCGUGGGGAGCGAACAGGAUUAGAUACCCUGGUAGUCC